rnacentral:rRNA from 1 species
GACGUAGGUGGCAAGCGUUGUCCGGAAUUAUUGGGCGUAAAGCGCGCGCAGGCGGUCCUUUAAGUCUGAUGUGAAAGCCCUCGGCUCAACCGAGGAGGGUCAUUGGAAACUGGAGGACUUGAGUGCAGAAGAGGAAAGUGGAAUUCCAAGUGUAGCGGUGAAAUGCGUAGAGAUUUGGAGGAACACCAGUGGCGAAGGCGACUUUCUGGUCUGUAACUGACGCUGAGGCGCGAAAGCGUGGGGAGCAAACAGG